UCACACAGAACUACCAUUCACAUUAUAGUGUUUCACACAAAUACAGACUCAUUCUCUCUGUUGAACUACAAUUAGAUUUUAGCAUUCAAUCUGUCUUCUUCUCAAAUAAUACCAAUCACAUUUCUAUUCCAUAAUUCACUUCACAAUAUUCAGAAACUUUCAAUCCUCUUAUUCAAAGAAAAUAACAAACAAAAGAAAAGAGGUAGCACCAAGCUUACCUUGGCUCACAACUCUCACAAUCUGGCCCUCGGCUCACAACUCUCACAGUCUGGCACCCUAAUUAACUUCUACAACUCCUAUAUACCUUUCCUUGAUUCUCCAGAUUCUAACCGUAAUUCUGUAAUUAAUCACUUUUAAUAACUAAAUCAUUCAUCCAUCCUCAUGAAUUUCCUACUAUAUGGACUAUUAAUAUAUUUUAUCAAUAUCUUUCAAAAACGAAUUAAUAUCUAUUCUACAUAGCCCCACUCCUAUCUGUACAGCAUCCUUGCAAACACUCAAUUGAUACCUAUCUAAAAAUUAUCUAACAAAAAUCUACAAAAAUUACGAUCCCUCUGGCCUAUCUAAUUAAUCAAUUGUCACAGUAUCUGUUAUUGGUUCCAUCGAUUUCGGUUCCAACUGCAAAUCUUCAUCCUUCUCCAAUCCUUCCAUCGGCUCCUACCUCAAUUGAGCUGAAAGAUCUUCAUUGUACUCACCCAAUUUACGGACUUGAGCUUUCAAUUUCAAGAUCUGGGCAUCUCUUAAUUCCAACUGGCGUUGAAAGUGACUCCUUUCUUCUGGAACUUCGAGAACUGGCAACGUCGAUACUUGUGCUUGAUUAAUAUUGACUAAAUCCUCUGCCAAUCUUGUCACCUCGGCAUUCAAGGCCUCAAUUUCAGCCCUUAACUGCUCUGUUUCACAUUUGUAUUGGUCACUCAAUACCAAUUUCUCUUGCGCUAAUAACUCGACCUUUUCUCGUUCCAUUACCAAGUAACCCUUCGCUUUUUUGAGUUCCAAAAUUGAAUUAUUGCGAGCCCAGAAUAGUUCUUGCUUGUGGGUCUCUACCAUGCGUUCUCUUUCUUCUGACUGGUUCCUCACUGUUAACUCUUAACUGGAACUACUACUCUCGAAAACACAAGAAAUAUAAGAAAAUGGCAGUCUAGCCAACCCAAAACAACACCACAGAAUGACUUUAACUGGUGCCCCACUCCUAUUCUUUUACUUAGUGGUGAUAAUAACAAUAUGUUAUCCAUACUGUCCGUGAAAGGUAAUGAUAAGUAAUCUUUCUUGGUGGCCACAUUUAACUUUUGAAAAUCUUGACAUAUCCUGAUUUUUCCAUUCUUCUUCCGUACCCUCACGAUUGGCGACAUCCAUGCACUAUGCGGAACAAGAUAAAUAAAACCCAUGUCGAGAAGUUUAUCCAAUUCCUCUUUUACUAAAAGGAAAUAUUUUGGGUUAAGCCGAUGUUGUCUUUGACGAACUGGCAUAACACCCUCCUCCAGAAUAAUCUGGUGCUCAUUCAUGUUGACUAGAAUCCCUUUCAAAUCCGCAUACGACCAUGCAAAGGUAGAUUUGUGAUGGACGGAAAAUUGUUUCUAAGCAUCCAAUUCUGUACCGAUAAUACUGACAUAUAUUUUAAUUAGCUGUGGCAUUUCGUUGGUGCCCAUGUUAAUAGAUUGACACACAAGAUCUUCAACAACCUCUGAUUUAAUUAUCUUCUCCUGAUCUGAAUAUCUUGUAUUAUUCGACAUAUGAGAACCACCCAAAUCUGGUUCCAAUGUGCUGACUCUAUUGACUGCAAAAUUAUUCAUCCAUUCGGCAAUAGCAUGAUCUGAGUUAGUCACAUUCUCCUGAUGCAGUAAAUAUUCGUCGAGACUUCCACAUUGGUAGAUUCCUGCCUUUGCUAUUGAAGUGUUUUGUCUUACCCCAAAUUGCGGUGAACCUAUAGCAUCAUCAUCUGCCUCAAUCAAUUGACUCUCGUUGUCUGAUGUAAAUUCUGAUUUUGGCAAUUGAAAUUCUCCAUGAUAUUGUACCGGGUACAUCUGUAGAACAUUCUGGUCCCAACAUUUUCCAAUUGUCAAUGUGCCUCGGCCCCAAUCGUUCUUAGCUAUGGCUUGAUAAAGCCAAGGUCUCCCCAAUAAAAUGGGAUACGAUAAUGUAGAACUCUAUAAUCGGAAUACAUUAUAAGCGAUUUUGUAUGUCAAUCUUGUAAUUACAGUGGCAAUAUUGUAUAAGAUUCCCAUUGGCUUUACUUGACUAUGAUCUGCCAUUCGCAAUACUAAUGUCGUAGGUAUCAAUUGCUUUAGAUCCAAGUCCUCCAUUGUAUUCACAUUCAUUAAAUUCACACUGGAGCCACCUUCGACUUGUACCCCUAGAAUUAAAACGCCAUCGAUUGAUACAUCGAUUGUUGGUGCUCCCAGAUCUGGGUUUAAGCUAACUUCAUGAAUUUUUUUAGUGUGAAAUCUUCAUCGUAUUAGCGCUAAAUUCAAUGUAGAUCAACAUUUCGGUGCUACAGCCAAAAGUUACUUCAUUAUAAUUGAAGGCUGAAUAACAUCCAAAUCCUUCAAAAUAUCAUAAGGUUCCAUAUUUAGGGUAAUUUCCAAUGCCCUCUUUCUUUUCAUUGAUUUGAGUUUAACUCCGAGAGGUAAGAUAUUCUUCUGCCCUAGACUCGAAAUUGGAACAGCAGCCGGGGCUUCCUUAGAAUUCCCGCCCUUGAGAGGAUCUUUUAAUGGGUAGGAUAUUUCUCGAAACUGCGUAGAGAUUGGAAUUGCUUGGAAAGGAACUGAAGCCUCCGUAAUUGAGACUUCAUUGGAUUGUGCCACCGAGUCAGGUCUCAUACUGGGUACGAAGUCCGUAACAAGACCUGGAUUGGAUGGUCCCUUAAUUGGGUUAAAUUAAUCUUUCGCUUCAGGAUUACUCAAAUGUUGAAUUGGUCCUUUUUCCUUUUGCUAACUCCGGAUUAGAAUGGCUUGGAUACAUUCCACCCGAUUUACCAGAGAAUCUUGAGGACCUCGAUUUAUCUCCUCAAAUUUUCCUUGGCUUUGGAUCUGCUGAUCUGGAUUAUUGACAUUGAACGGAGCAUUACAUUGUUGAUACGUAUGCCCCGACUGCUUGCAAUUCCCACAAACUGGUGCAUAAUCGUCAUUGGCUCUAGGAUUGCAACAUUCAUUGGCAUAAUGACCAAUCUGUUAGCAACGAAAACAACAAAGUGGUCUUCUUGCACUCCCAUCAGGCAUAUUGGGUGCCUCCAUCAGUAUAUACCUACUAGGCUUGUUCCAUGUAGGAUUGGAAAAUGAUCCUGGUUGUCUCAUUGGUAUUGAGAGAACUUGGUUUGAUGACGUCGAUGGAGCAUAUUGCUGAUACAUCUACUGCUCCUUAUCGUAGUUUUGGAGGUUCAAUGCAGACCUCUGAUUAAAAUUAGAACUUUGAAAGUUAUUGAAUGCUCGAUUCUAUCGAUUAAAUCGAUUUCCAUUCCAUCCAAACGUAUUUUCCAUUUGUACUUGAUUGACGUCCCACUGAAUUGGUGGGAUCAUGGUCUGAUUACUAAAUUUUUAUUGUUGUCUUUGUCAAUUCCAACAAUUUGCUAUUAGGUACUUUUUCCCACAAAAUGUACAUUGACCCAUUAUUUGUAAGGGUGAAGGGCACUCUGUUACAAAAUGACCGUCACCCUUACAAUUACUGCACCAUACAUUGGUCCUAGUAUUGGUAGGCUUUUGCCUCUUCUCCUUAUCUUUGGCCAUAUUGAUGGCCAUUUCUUCCAUUUUCUUCGUCAAAUUCAAUAACAAGAUUUUGUUGGAAUCUUUUAGGACUGACAUUAUUGAUAUCUCUGCCGUAGUUAACGCUUGUUGUUGAUACGAAAAAUAUGGAGCAUACGCUGUUGUCACAUUCGGUGGUAUAGCUUGCAAUGGGGUGAUAUUAACUAGCCCAUGAAUAUUGGUAUUGGAAUUGGCCCAUGUUUCUAACAUCUGUGGAUAACUACCCACUGAUUCGUUCCAAGUCAAAUUUUGAUAUCUACCUUGAACUGGAAUCAUCGAGGCUCCCGUAAUUAAAAACUGAUCAUAAUGGCAUUCCUUCCAAACCUUGGCUCUAAUAAAGGAUGCAGCUACUAUAACGGGUUGAGCUUCCUUUACAAACAUUUUUAACUCUGGUCGGUGCAAACCAUUGAUUAAUAUGGAUAAGAUAAAUGCCUCCGGCAUUUGGUGAUUCGGCCACUUACUGAGUAUAUCAGCCACUCGGCCAUAGUACGAUUCUACUACCUCUCUUAAGAUCAUUUUGCUGUUCAUUAAUCUCUCUCGAAGGCAGUCCUCAAAACCAAUUGGCCGAAAAUGAGAUAAAAAUGCAUUCUUCAAUACUUCCCAAUUCAAAAAUUGACCCACUAGUUGGCAGUUGUACCAUUCAAACGCCGUGUCUUUUAAGGUUGCUGGCAGCCAUCGCAACCAAAUAUCUUCAGUUCUGCCAUUAUUAGCUACACAUGCUGUAAGAAACUGAGACAAAUGUUAAUCGGGAUCCGCAUCCAGAAAUCCCCGAAAAGUAGGUAGUGGCAUGACACUAGUCGUACGAUCGCCUACUGCAUCCAUUUGUACUACAAUCAGAAUGGCUGGUCCUCUUGACACCAUUGAAUUUUUUGUUCCGCUAAACUCCGUUUUAAAAUAAUCUCUAUUUUCCCUUAUUCUAAUUUUCGAGCUCUCAGUGCUCCUCAAUUUACUGUUAUUUUCUGCAAUUAAUUUUAUUGGUUGAAUUAUAGGUGAAAAUGUCGGAUUUUGAAAUACAAUAUAGUUAUCUUUAUUGGCGACCAAUUUGUGCUAAUCUAAAGAGCCACAAUUGCUCGUUUCAGCGGUACCCUCUACUGAAAAAAUACCCAAUGGAGUACCAAAUUCUUCUACGCCUCUUUUUCUUUCAGUUAACGGCCUCAAGAUUUCCACUGGAAUAUUAAUAAAAUUUCUCGCGAGUAUUCUUGGUAGUUUUUUUAAUGGUACAUACAACUGCAGAAUUAACAGUCUGUCUAGUUCUUGAUAUGUUCGGAUGUGCCGACAAGCUUGCAACCAUGGUUUAAUCCAAUUCUGUCGAUGCUUCCUUUUAAGAUUAUGUUCUUGCUCCUCUCUAAGCAAGUUUCUUCCUUGCGCUCUUCCUUGUCUUUUUCUCAACUGAUUUAUUUUCCUCAAUGCAAUGCUCUCGUUUUUAUUAACCAUAAUCUUGCUUCAAACACUACUGAAAUCAUCUUCUAUUGCCAAUUUUCUCACACAUUUAGUAAUUAAUUCCUAACACUCAAAGCUAUUAUCACUCCCCAGCAGCGGCACCAAAAUGUGAUUGCUCGUUUUACUUAUUCAAGAAGAAACCUCCCAGCAUAAAUCCAUAUAGGGGGAUUCGAACACGGGGAAUGACUAGUUGCUUAAGCAUUCACUUUAGGAUCACACAAUCAAUUACCUCCUGAAUGUAUCGUCUCUAUUUCUAAUAUCUAAACACACAAGGAAACUAUAAUCUCCUCCUUCACCUUAUUGGUCUCUUCCUUAUAACAAUUCAAUUAUAUCAAUAACUGCUAUUUCCACCAAUAUAUUCACCUUCAUAAUCUCCAACUAUAAUAUUGCGCCCUCACAACUUUCAACACACAAUUAUCCUCGUUCCAUUUACUAGAAUUCUUCACACAGAACUGCCAUUCACAUUACAGUGUUUCACACAAAUACAGACUCAUUCUCUCUGUUGAACUACAAUUAGAUUUUAGCAUUCAAUCUUUCUUCUUCUCAAAUAAUACCAAUCACAUUUCCAUUCCAUAAUUCACUUCAUAAUAUUCAGAAACUUUCAAUCUUCUUAUUCAAAGAAAAUAACAAACAAAAGAAAAGAGGUAGCACCAAGCUUACCUCGGCUCACAACUCUCACAGUCUGGCACCCUAAUUAACUUCUAUAACUCCUAUA
rnacentral:lncRNA from 1 species